ACUAGCUAGUUUGCCCUGGGGAUCCUGUCUCUGAAUCCUAAGUGCUAGGGUUAUGGGCAGCUGCCACAUCUGCCUGGCUUCCGGGGGUGGGGUUCU
rnacentral:miRNA from 1 species